CGUUUCCUCACUGGAGAGAGGCCCACUCCGAGUGGGCCCACCGAAGGGGCAAGCAAGGCGCUGCACGCAGCGACGCGCGAAUCUCUCAGGUAAAGCGGACAGAGAGGGCUUU
rnacentral:ncRNA from 2 species